rnacentral:rRNA from 1 species
UACGGGGGGGAGCAAGCGUUGUUCGGAUUUACUGGGCGUAAAGGGCGCGUAGGCGGUCAGCACAAGUCAGUUGUGAAAUCUCCGGGCUUAACUCGGAAAGGUCAACUGAUACUGUGCGACUAGAGUGCAGAAGGGGCAACUGGGAAUUCUCGGUGUAGCGGUGAAAUGGCGUAGAUAUCGAGAGGAACACCUGCGGCGAAGGCGGGUUGCUGGGGCUGACACGUGACUGAUGCGCGAAAGCCCAGGGGAGCGAACGGGAUUAAGAA